rnacentral:rRNA from 1 species
CCUACGGGUGGCAGCAGUGAGGAAUAUUGGUCAAUGGGCGCGAGCCUGAACCAGCCAAGUAGCGUGAAGGAUGACUGCCCUACGGGUUGUAAACUUCUUUUAUAAAGGAAUAAAGUGAGGCACGUGUGCCUUUUUGUAUGUACUUUAUGUAUAAGGAUCGGCUAACUCCGUGCCAGCAGCCGCGGUAAUACGGAGGAUCCGAGCGUUAUCCGGAUUUAUUGGGUUUAAAGGGAGCGUAGAUGGGUUGUUAAGUCAGGUGUGAAAGUUUGCGGCUCAACCGUAAAAUUGCAAUUGAAACUGGCAGUCUUGAGUACAGUUGAGGUAGGCGGAAUUCGAGGUGUAGCGGUGAAAUGCGUAGAUAUCACGAAGAACUCCGAUGGCGAAGGCAGCUUACUAAACUGCCACUGACAUUGAGGCUCGAAAGUGUGGGUAGCAAACAGGAUUAGAUACCCCAGUAGUC